rnacentral:rRNA from 1 species
GAUGAACGCUGGCGGCGUGCUUAACACAUGCAAGUCGAACGGUGAAGGCGGAGCUUGCUCUGCUGGAUCAGUGGCGAACGGGUGAGUAACACGUGAGCAAUCUGCCCCUGACUCUGGGAUAAGCGCUGGAAACGGCGUCUAAUACUGGAUACGAGCUGCGAAGGCAUCUUCAGCAGCUGGAAAGAAUUUCGGUCAGGGAUGAGCUCGCGGCCUAUCAGCUUGUUGGUGAGGUAAUGGCUCACCAAGGCGUCGACGGGUAGCCGGCCUGAGAGGGUGACCGGCCACACUGGGAAUGAGACACGGCCCAGACUCCUACGGGAGGCAGCAGUGGGGAAUAUUGCACAAUGGGCGAAAGCCUGAUGCAGCAACGCCGCGUGAGGGACGACGGCCUUCGGGUUGUAAACCUCUUUUAGCAGGGAAGAAGCGAAAGUGACGGUACCUGCAGAAAAAGCGCCGGCUAACUACGUG